ACGGAAGGCAGCAGUGGGGAAUUUUGCGCAAUGGGGGGAACCCUGACGCAGCAACGCCGCGUGCGGGAUGAAGGCCUUCGGGUUGUAAACCGCUUUCAGCAGGGACGAUUAUGACGGUACCUGCAGAAGAAGCUCCGGCUAACUACGUGCCAGCAGCCGCGGUAAUACGUAGGGAGCGAGCGUUAUCCGGAUUCAUUGGGCGUAAGGCGCGCGUAGGCGGCUUGCUAAGCGGAACCUCUAAUCCGAGGGCUCAACCCCCGGCCGGGUUCCGAACUGGCAGGCUCGAGUGCGGUAGGGGCAAGUGGAAUUCCAUGUGUAGCGGUGGAAUGCGCAGAUAUAUGGAAGAACACCGAUGGCGAAGGCAGCUUGCUGGGCCGACACUGACGCUGAGGUGCGAAAGCGUGGGGAGCGAACAGGAUUAGAUACCCUGGUA
rnacentral:rRNA from 1 species